CGAACGGGUGAGGAACGCGUGGACAACCUACCCCGGCGUGGGGGAUACCCGCCAGAAAUGGUGGCUAAUACCGCGUACGGUUGCCGGACGGAGGGUUCGGCAAAGAAAGCAGCGAUGCGCGCUGGGAGGGGUCUGCGGCCGAUUAGCUAGUUGGCGGGGUAGUGGCCCACCAAGGCGAUGAUCGGUAGCUGGUCUGAGAGGAUGGUCAGCCACACGGGGACUGAGACACGGCCCCG
rnacentral:rRNA from 1 species